rnacentral:lncRNA from 1 species
UGUCAAACUAGCUCUGCCUCCCUCAGAUGGCCCCUGCGCUCCAGGCCAGCGUAAUCUUUCCUCCUCCCCCUGGACUUCAGGCUACCACUGAUGCUUUUUGGGGGCCUUCUGGGUGCCUCACAUACUCACAUGUGGGCACGCUCUUAAGUGAACUUGUGGCAUUUACAUAAACAUGCGCAGGUGUACCUGAGGGAGCUGCUUACAUGUGCAUGGGUGUUUGCACACCCACUUCCACACCUGUGUGCAGACAUGCCUUUAUGAACAUGAGUACCUGCUCCUAAGCCUGUCCAUGUAAACAUGCAUCCACACUCGCCCGCCAGGACCCCUGCCAGCCCCCAGCUCCGGUCCCCAGGGUGCCUCCAGCCCCAUGGCAGCUCUCCUCAAGCAAAGCGAGUGGGUGAGAUCCCAGGAGAAGAUGUCUGGAGAUCCCACCCCGCCCUUGGGAGGGGCGUGAGGGGAGGGGACCCCACGUGGGCCUGAGCUGCCUCCUCUCUCCAAGGAGCCGGGGAGCCCUCCAAGUGCCGAGCCACCCUACUGCGACCUGCCCCGAUGCCCGCCUGCCCCUGAGGACACGCUCAGCACCGAAACCUCCACCUUCCAGCCUGUGGUGGGCCCGGGCCUCAGGCAGGGGUCUGAAAGGGUCUUGUCCUCCAUAGCAGGGCUUUCUGACCAGGGCCCCACAGCUGUUCCCAGGAGUGGGCACGGGGGGCUUGAGGCAGUGCUCAAUUUGGAAAGCCCAGCCUCCUCUCUGUGUGACAGUUGUGACAAGAGCCCCAACUCUGACACCAGCUCCGGCCCUGACAGUGACAUCCCUGAUGAUACCAGCAACUCGUCUUCUGUGGUGAGCUGGGGGCGAGAGACAGGGCCAGGAUAACAAGAGGAGCUCAUGCCUCCAUCCCUAGUCCUGGGGC